rnacentral:rRNA from 1 species
CAGGUGAUUUCUGCCCGGUGGUGGACUAAACGGCCGCGGUAUUUUGACCGUGCAAAGGUAGCAUAAUCAUUUGUCCUUUAAUUGGGGGCUGGUAUGAAAGAAAGGUCGAGGUUCUUGCUGUCUCUUUUUUUUGUGGGGAAUUUGCUGUUUUUGUGAAGAAGCAAAAUUGAUAAAAAAAGACAAGAAGACCCUAUUAAGCUUUAUUUUUUAUUUAUAUGGUUUUGUUUAAAAAUAUUUUGAAUAUAAUAAAAAAAUUUGGUUGGGGCGGCUAAAGAAGAUAAUUAUCUUCUUUUGUUUAAUUGAUUAUAAAUCUAAAAAGGACCCAAAAGUUUUUGGUUUUUAGAAUUAGUUACUAUAGGGAUAACAGCGUUAUCUUUUCAGAAAGUUCUUAUUGGAGAAAAGGUUUGCGACCUCGAUGUUGACUUGUUGUUUCCUGUUAAGGUGUAGUAGCUGUGAGGGUUAGUCUGUUCGACUAUUAAAACAAUACGUGAUCUGAGGUUCAGACCGGA